ACAUCCACAGACGCUCGAUCGGAUUGAGAUCUGGGGAAUUUGGUGGCCGGGUCGACACUUUGAACUCUUUAUGUUCCUCAAACCGUUCCUCAACAGUUUCUGCGGCGUAACAUGGAGCGUUAUCCUGCUGGAAGACGCCACUGACCACCAUUAGGGAAUAACGUUGCUAUGAAGACCAUGUGAUGAUGUCGGGUGUGAGCGGCGCGGCAGUGACAUGCAUGAAGCCUUAUUUAAAACCUGGUCACAUCAUCUCACAGCCUGUUGCUAAGCAGUGCAUGAGAGCAGCAGCAGCAGCAGCAGCAGCAGCAGCAGAGCCCAGGCUGAAAUAUACAGCGUUCAGCUCCACGUCUCACCUGUUCGGCCUGAAGCUCAGCGUUAGAACAGCUGCCCAGGUCUCCUUUAAACACUACGUGAAAGAAGAUUCUCCUUUUGGAGUAAAAUGUGCUGUGCGUUAGACUCGACGCCAAAGCCCUGCAUCAGCCCAGUGAAGCAUGCACACUAGGCAGGGC
ensembl:lncRNA